UGGGGAAUAUUGCACAAUGGGGGAAACCCUGAUGCAGCGACGCCGCGUGGAGGAAGAAGGUCUUCGGAUUGUAAACUCCUGUUGUUGAGGAAGAUAAUGACGGUACUCAACAAGGAAGUGACGGCUAACUACGUGCCAGCAGCCGCGGUAAAACGUAGGUCACAAGCGUUGUCCGGAAUUACUGGGUGUAAAGGGAGCGCAGGCGGGAGAACAAGUUGGAAGUGAAAUCCAUGGGCUCAACCCAUGAACUGCUUUCAAAACUGUUUUCUUGAGUAGUGCAGAGGUAGGCGGAAUUCCCGGUGUAGCGGUGGAAUGCGUAGAUAUCGGGAGGAACACCAGUGGCGAAGGCGGCCUACUGGGCACCAACUGACGCUGAGGCUCGAAAGUGUGGGUAGCAAACAGGAUUAGAUACCCUUGU
rnacentral:rRNA from 1 species